AUUGAACGCUGGCGGCGUGCUUAACACAUGCAAGUCGAGCGGUAACAUGUGUAGCAAUACAUGCUGACGAGCGGCGAACGGGGGAGCAAUGCUUCGGAAUCUUCCUCGUAGUGGGGAACAACCGGGGGAAACUCAGGCUAAUACCGCAUACUAACUACGGUUGAAAGCAGGGGAUCGCAAGACCUCGCGCUAUAAGAUGAGCCGAAGUCGGAUUAGCUAGUUGGUGGGGUAAAGGCCUACCAAGGCCACGAUCCGUCGCUGGUCUGAGAGGACGACCAGCCACACUGGGACUGAGACACGGCCCAGACUCCUACGGGAGGCAGCAGUGGGGAAUAUUGGACAAUGGGGGCAACCCUGAUCCAGCGACGCCGCGUGUGUGAAGAAGGCCUGCGGGUUGUAAAGCACUUUUAGUGGGGACAAAAAGCCGAGGGCUAAUACCUUUCGGUCUUGAUUUAACCCAGAGAAAAAGCACCGGCUAACUCUGUGCCAGCCGCCGCGGUAA
rnacentral:rRNA from 1 species